UCCAGGUUUGGAGCAAGCACUAUUUGGUUAGAAAGCCCCAGCAGAGAUUUAAAAUCACAAAACGUAGUAAAGUGUGGAAAUGUAGGCUGUUAGACCUUUAAAAUAUGCCCUUCUGAGUUACUUCCAAAGUUUCCCGCUUCCCUAGUACAGAAAAAUACCACACGCUUGGUGAGUUAAAAAUGGUUUACUUAGAAACUCUCCAAAGGUCAGAUUUAUGUGUAUUUCCAUACAUCAGUCAGAAAACAAAGGCAGUAAAACUUAUAACGGUUGAGUAGAGCCUUCUCUCUCUCUCUCUCUCUCUCUCUCUCUCUCUCUCUGUGUGUGUGUGUGUGUGUUUGUGUGUGCAUGAGCAUAGCCAGUAUUUCUGUUGGGGGGGGGCAGAACCAGCGUGAUUGGUCAGCUAAGUAUUUCUAUUGUUUUACUCCCUCCCUCCCUGGCUACACCCAUCUGUGCAUUGUACAUACAUGUGUAGGUGGGGCUUGGGCAUGAAUCCUUGGAAUAUGAUUGGGCGCAAUUCUCUACUCACCUGGGAAGUGGAAUUCAUUGGGGCAUAUUUCUGGAUAAACAUGGAUUGUGCUGCUUGGGUGUUGCAAGCAUUUUCCUGUUUUCAUAUAUCUGUAUUUUCUCCUAAUAGGGAAAAACACCCUAAUUUUCAUAUAUUGUACUAUUGCCCAAAUAGUCCUAGUCAAGGCGUUCCAAGACUGUGGUAAAUGGACCACCAGUAGUCUGUGAGCUUUGUUCAUGCAGUCCACCUUAAAUAUCAAUAUCAAUUUUUAAUUAUACUUGUAUUGCUUCUUUUAAUCCAUCCUAUUUUAUUGUACAGUUGUACCUUGGUUCUCAAACGGAAUCAGUUUGAAAACCAAGGCACGGCUUCCGAUUGACUGCAGGAGCUUUUUGCACUCAAGCGGAAGCCGCGUCGGGCAUUCGGCUUCCAACAAAUGUUUGCAAACCAGAACACUCACUUCCGGGUUUGUGGCGUUUGGGAGCCAAAAUGUUCGAGUCGCAAGGCAUUCGACAACCAAGGUCUGACUGUAUUACGGUUUGAAUUCUGUUGAAUGUAAAUUGUAGUACAAUGAACAAAAGAAGCAAUUUAAAUACAUUUAAAACCAUACAGAAUAUAGCACAAGACACUGCAAUUGCUGCAACAGGUAUUUUGUGCUCUGAGAAGGCCAUGAGUAGUUUUCAAGUGCCGUGGGGUGGGGUGUUUGGCAACUGCUUGUCUUAUCCUGGUUGUAGUCUUGCCUCCAAGGUCCUCUAGAUGGAGCUGCUAAGAAGGAAAUGAAGGCCAGCUUGUUUGAAACGGCAGGAAUCUCCAUUGCUCCCUCAGUAUCUCAAGAGAGGUAGCAAGCCAUGUGUUGAUGUUUGCAGAGUUUUUAAAAGGAGUGAAAAUUAGAAAAUUCUAACGAAGCCACAGACUUUCUUCCUCCUCUUGCAAUAUAUUUUGCAGGCUGCCCAAAUCAGGUUUGUUUGUUUUGCAAGAAGGUUGCUCCAAUAAAUGUCAAUCAUCCCACCUGGCAAUUCAUCCCAGUUCCUAAGAAGACAUAGUUGGAGUCAAGCAGCAGUUUCCAAAACCCUAGGGAGAAGGUGGAUCAUGACUUAUAGAGGAAUGGGCUGCACAAGCCAGUGUAUUAUAAACACCAACCAUUGGUGUCAAGUCUUGAUGUGUUUAUUGGUUUCUAAAAGGGCAAAUAUGGCAGGAGACUUUUCACACAGCCACUGGGAGCAUCGGAGCUGCAAUGCAAGGGGUGCAUUUGGCAGCUUUAUUCGGAGAAAUAGCAGGUCUUAAAAUUAAUAAAGAUAAAACCAAACUCCUGGUAAAAAAUAUGAAGGUUGAGAGUAAAAAUAAAUUACAAAGUUUAUCAUGCUUAAAGAUCAAAAACAAUAUUAAAUAUUUGGGUAUGUGGUUAACAGCAAAGAAUAUAAACUUGUAUAAAGAUAAUUACAGUGGUACCUCUGGUUGCGGAUGGGAUCUGUUCCGGAGCUCCGGUCAGAUCCCAAGGUUUCUGCAACUAGAAGUGCCUGUUCUGUGCAUAUCUGUAGCGCGAUAGAUAGUGGCUGUGCAUGCACACGAUGCGUAGAACACUUCUGUGCUGCGUGUAGAGCACUUCUGUGCAUAUGCGAGCUGUGAAACCUGGAAAAAUACUUCUGGGUUUGCCACUUUGCAACCCGAAGUUUAUGUUACCCAAGGGUAACAUAAGCUGAGGUUCUACUGUACUUGAAAACUUGGGAGGAUAUUAAAAGGAAUUUGCAAAUAGGGAGUAGAAUGAAACUUUCAUUAUUGGGUAGAGUGUUGACCAUUAAAAUGAAUGUAACAGUGGUACCUCGGGUUACAUAUGCUUCAGGUUACAGACUCCGCUAACCCAGAAAUAUUACCUCGGGUUAAGAACUUUGCUUCAGACUUCCGGGGUGGCGCCAUCGGUAAUGGCGGACUCCCUCUGAUCCGGAGGGACUGGCUCCACGGAAAACGGGUCUGUUCCGCUACGGCGAAGCGGGGACCCUUCAAAAAAUCACAGGCGGAGGAAGCCUGUGACCAUGGGAUUGGCGGGCACCUUUUGCGCCCCCCCAAUCCGUAAAGGAACCCAACUAUGUGCUCCGGAGCGAAGAGGGGUUAGUGGCGCGGUGCUGAGAGUCAACUGCUUUUUCCGUGGAGCGAAGCCGCACAGCCGUUGCCGGAGAGCGCUACCUUUUUCCUGGGACAAUUUGGUUACAAAAACAACUACCCGUGAGCAGAUCAAAUUUGGACAAUUGGACUUUAAACAACGAUCUGUGAGUAGAAGGGAAAAUUGGAUUAGAAAUUCUUCUUAAUUUGGCACUGAAGCAGGAAGGUCUAAACAGGAAGUCAGCCUUCCAUUUCUUGUAGAUAGAUUAAAGCAAAGACAUGGCAAACUAGAGUCCAGAAAAUCGUUUGUAAAGGAUCAACUUUCAUCAUCUAAAACUACUGAACCCCCUUCGGAAGCAGGAGAAGAGGGGGGAUUUUUUCCGGAUGGUUUAAACUUGCAGGAGAGAGUGUAAAGAAAAGUAAUUUUCCACCGUCUUGAACCUGGGAGCGGGAUGUCAGGACAGACGUUUUUAGGAAGUUCAUUGACUAUAGACAAAUGUUUUUGACAGAUAGUUAAAAGAAGAGAAACAUAGUGAUUCCAUUGUUCUCUUUCGCAUUUUAAAGGAACAAAUACUGACAAAAUAUCUGAAAAAGGAAACUUUGUUGUUAGAUCUUCUGUU